rnacentral:rRNA from 1 species
CACGUAGGGCGCAAGCGUUGUCCGGAAUUAUUGGGCGUAAAGAGCUCGUAGGCGGUCUGUUGCGUCCGCUGUGAAAACUCGGGGCUUAACCCCGAGCCUGCAGUGGAUACGGGCAGACUAGAGUUUGGUAGGGGUCACGGGAAUUCCCAGUGUAGCGGUGAAAUGCGUAGAUAUUGGGAAGAACACCAGCGGCGAAAGCGCGUGACUGGGCCUGAACUGACACUCAUGGACGAAAGCUAGGGGAGCGAAAGGG